rnacentral:rRNA from 1 species
UACACUCCUGCGGGAGGCAGCAGUGGGGAAUUUUGGACAAUGGGCGAAAGCCUGAUCCAGCCAUGCCGCGUGCAGGAUGAAGGCCUUCGGGUUGUAAACUGCUUUUGUACGGAACGAAACGGCCUUUUCUAAUAAAGAGGGCUAAUGACGGUACCGUAAGAAUAAGCACCGGCUAACUACGUGCCAGCAGCCGCGGUAAUACGUAGGGUGCAAGCGUUAAUCGGAAUUACUGGGCGUAAAGCGUGCGCAGGCGGUUAUGUAAGACAGUUGUGAAAUCCCCGGGCUCAACCUGGGAACUGCAUCUGUGACUGCAUAGCUAGAGUACGGUAGAGGGGGAUGGAAUUCCGCGUGUAGCAGUGAAAUGCGUAGAUAUGCGGAGGAACACCGAUGGCGAAGGCAAUCCCCUGGACCUGUACUGACGCUCAUGCACGAAAGCGUGGGGAGCAAACAGGAUUAGAAACCCUAGUAGUCCCAUGA